GAGGGCGCUGCGGCGCAUCCCUCUGCGCAUGCGCACAUCAGCAGGGCCUGCCUGCGCUGGAGGGGCGGGACGACGAACACUUUCUGAUCAGGCAGCGCAGUAGCCACCCCUCCGGGGGGCCGUGGGCUUGUAGGGGCGUUUGGGGUCCUUCCCCCCCGCGGCUCUAGAAAUCCCUCUUAGAGAAUGGGACGGUCUCUUAAGGGCGCGCAUGCGCAGACGCCUCCGUGGUCCGACGCUACUGGGGCGCAGCCUCCCUGUCCACCCGCGCGCGGCGCAAAGGCCCCUCAGGCAGUGCCGCGGGUAGCUCUGUCCCCGCACCUCUCUGCUUCCCACUUCCGCUCGCUCGUGUUAUCAGCGUGCACGCGCGGGGCUGCGGCUGCGGCUGCUGUGGCGAGUGAGGGGCACCAGCAGGGGGCGUGUGUGGGGCCUUUCAUUUUAAUCACUGACUUUUCUUUUUGGCGGGGGUGUUAUCAGACAAUUUGUGAUUUUAUUUAGUUCUUUAUCAGAGAAUUUGUGAUUUUUUUUUUUUAUCAGGAUCCCUGCAGAUCAGCCCCACCGCCUCAGCCCUACCUGUCUGCCAUGGACCCACCCCGAUCCAGCACGUGGGGCCGUGCCAUCCGGCCUGCAGGGCUCGGAGAUUUGGCAGCGGGGAAGCGGUCAGCAGCUUUAAUUGCCCCGCUGUCUAAUGUCCAGACCCGUGGGAAGCCCACAGGCCAGCUCGGCCCCUGGGUUGUAGAUUGAGCCUUGUGUGUUAGGAGCUUCAGUCUUUGCUUCACCAGUCAUUAGUUUGCCCUCCGAGUUCGUUAGGGACUUAUUGCCUCCCUUGCUGCCUCCGCCUCAAUUCUAUCCAGUCUUCUGAUUUUUCUCCUUGUAUUCGUAUGGGAUGGUCUUAAACCCCUCCCUCAUGAUGCGGCCACGUUGCAGUCACUGUAAAAUCCUGUGCCGUUUGCAAACAGAAAGGGUUACAACCUGCUUUUUUACACCAAAUCCAAAGUUCUCGUGAAGGUUGAGGGCACUGGGCCUGCCGGCACUCCCUUCCAGUUUAAGGUUGCGCCUGAAUUCUUCUCCAGCACCUCAUGUGUACAAAGUAACCACACUUCUGUUCAUACUAGAGGUGUUCAAGGACAAGCACUGAGCUACGAGUCUUCCACGAUGUCUGGAAGCAGAUGAAGAGUCCCAUGCCUCAGCCUCUCCUCAUAAGGCCUAUUUUCUUG